rnacentral:rRNA from 1 species
GUCUACAGCCAUGCCACCCUGAACAAGCCCUAUCCCGUCUGAUCUCGGAAGCUAAGCAGUGGCGGGCCUGGUUAGUACUUGGAUGGGAAACCACUUAGGAAGACCAGGUGCUGUAGGCA